GAGUUUGAUCCUGGCUCAGAUUGAACGCUGGCGGCAGGCCUAACACAUGCAAGUCGAGCGGAUGAAGGGAGCUUGCUCCUGGAUUCAGCGGCGGACGGGUGAGUAAUGCCUAGGAAUCUGCCUGGUAGUGGGGAUAACGUCCGGAAACGGGCGCUAAUACCGCAUACGUCCUGAGGGAGAAAGUGGGGGAUCUUCGGACCUCACGCUAUCAGAUGAGCCUAGGUCGGAUUAGCUAGUUGGUGGGGUAAAGGCCUACCAAGGCGACGAUCCGUAACUGGUCUGAGAGGAUGAUCAGUCACACUGGAACUGAGACACGGUCCAGACUCCUACGGGAGGCAGCAGUGGGGAAUAUUGGACAAUGGGCGAAAGCCUGAUCCAGCCAUGCCGCGUGUGUGAAGAAGGUCUUCGGAUUGUAAAGCACUUUAAGUUGGGAGGAAGGGCAGUAGUUAAUACCUUGCUGUUUUGACGUUACCAACAGAAUAAGCACCGGCUAACUUCGUGCCAGCAGCCGCCGCCG
rnacentral:rRNA from 1 species